UAGGGAAUAUUGCGCAAUGGGCGAAAGCCUGACGCAGCGAUGCCGCGUGAGUGACGAAGGUCUUAGGAUUGUAAAGCUCUUUUCUGAGGGAAGAAUAGGUUCUGGAGGAAAUGCCGGGAUUCUGACGGUACCUCAGGAAUAAGGAACGGCUAACUCCGUGCC
rnacentral:rRNA from 1 species